rnacentral:rRNA from 1 species
CCUUUUGGGGUCUGGUACCCGGAUCGGGGGAGUGCUGUUUACUCUGGGUGAAUUGUGCAAUGGUUUCGGGUCCGUGUUGACUCGAGCUGGGGGUCGGUGGCGGUCGCGUGCGACACGUACCAGCAACCAGUUCGGUCCAGCUCAGGCUCUCACUUGUGCGUUCUCGGUGUAAAAGCCGGUCAUCUGUUCGACCCGUCUUGAAACACGGACCAAGGAGUUUAGCGUAUGCGCAAGUCAUUGGGUGUUCAAAACCCAAAGGCGCAAUGAAAGUGAAGGCUUCUUACGGAGCUGAUGUGUGAUCCCUGGCACUGCGGUGUUGGGGCGCAACAUAGUCCCGUCUCGAUCGCAUGCGAUGGGGCGGAGACAGAGCGUAUGCGCUGAGACCCGAAAGAUGGUGAACUAUUCCUGAGCAGGAUGAAGCCAGAGGAAACUCUGGUGGAAGUCCGAAGCGAUUCUGACGUGCAAAUCGAUCGUCUGACUUGGGUAUAGGGGCGAAAGACUAAUCGAACCAUCUAGUAGCUGGUUCCCUCCGAAGUUUCCCCCAGGAUAGCUGGAGCUCGUUAAGCAGUUAUACUCGGUAAAGCGAAUGAUUAGAGGACUUGGGGACGAAAUGUCCUUAACCUAUUCUCAAACUCUAAAUGGGUAUGAAGCCAGGGUUGCUUGACUCUGAACCCAGGCGUUGAAUGUUUGAGCUCCAAGUGGGCCAUUUUUGGUAAGCAGAACUGGCGAUGUGGGAUGAACCAAACGUGGAGUUAAGGUGCCAAAGUGCCCGCUCAUUAGACCCCAUAAAAGGUGUUGGUUGAUAUAGACAGCAGGACGGUGGCCAUGGAAGUCGGAAUCCGCUAAGGAGUGUGUAACAACUCACCUGCCGAAUCAACUAGCCCUGAAAAUGGAUGGCGCUGGAGCGGGCCACCUAUACUCCACCGUCAUUGGCUUGUACACGUGCUUGUCGCGUAGUCUGGCCAUGACGUGUAGGAGGGUCGUAGUGGUUGCGUUGAAGGCUUUGGGCGUGGGCCCGGCCGGAGCUUCCACCAGUGCAGAUCUUGGUGGUAGUAGCAAAUAUUCAAGUGAGAUCCUUGAAGACUGAAGUGGAGAAGGGUUCCACGUGAACAGCAGUUGAAUGUGGGUCAGCCGAUCCUAAGGCACCGGCUAACGCCGUAACACACUACGGAUGACGACUUUUCUGUGCUUGCGCAGUUGGUCCAUCCGGUUGCCGAAAGGGAAGUGGGUUAACAUUCCCACGCCAGGCUAGGGAAAUGACGGUUCGCAAGAGCUGUUUUGCGCGGUAACGCAAAUGAACUCGCAGACGUCGUGUGGAGUCCGAGCCAGAGUUCUCUUUUCUGGUUUAGGGUGUGCGUGCCUGGAAGUGGCUCAGCCUGAGAUAGGGAUGUUGCGCCCGUAAAGCACCGCGGUUCCUGUGGUGUCUCGUGCGCUCCACACGGCCCUUGAAAAUGCGAGGGAAGCUAUUUGAAUCUCCUGCCUGAUCGUACCGAUAUCCGCAGCAGGUCUCCAAGGUGAACAGCCUCUAGUCGAUAGAAUAAUGUAGGUAAGGGAAGUCGGCAAAUUAGAUUCGUAACUUCGGGAAAAGAAUUGGCUCUAAAGGUCGGGUCAGCCGGGCUGUUGCGUGAAACAGGCGGCUUUUGCCCGUGGCUGCGUGCUGUUCUUUCGGGGAUGGUGCGUGGACUAGUGGUGAGAGCUGCUUGUGGAGCGCUUCAGCUGCGUGUAUGCUCGUCAGGGUAUGCACUUCGGUUGGCGCUGAACGACCAGUUUAGAACUGGCACGAACUCGGGGAAUCCGACUGUCUAAUUAAAACAGAGGAGACGGAUGGUCCUUGUGGACGUUGACCGUGUCUGAUUUCUGCCCAGUGCUCUGAAUGUUAAGCCAAGGAAACUUGAUUAAGCGCGGGUAAACGGCGGGAGUAACUAUGACUCUCUUAAGGUACCCAAAUGCCUCGUCGGCUAACUACCGACGCGCACGAAUGGAUCAACGAGAUUCCCACUGUCCCUAUCUACUAUCUAGCGAAACCACAGCCAAGGGAACGGGCUUGGCAAAUCUAGCGGGGAAACAACACCCUGUUGAGCUUGACUCUAGUCUGACUUUGUGAAGUAUUUUUCAACAAUUUUCCUAUUUUUUUUUCU